CCUUUACUAUAGCUUGACACUGAACAUUGAGCCUUGAUGUGUAGGAUAGGUGGGAGGCUUUGAAGUGUGGACGCCAGUCUGCAUGGAGCCGACCUUGAAAUACCACCCUUUAAUGUUUGAUGUUCUAACGUGGACCCGUAAUCCGGGUUGCGGACAGUGUCUGGUGGGUAGUUUGACUGGGGCGGUCUCCUCCUAAAGAGUAACGGAGGAGCACGAAGGUUGGCUAAUCCUGGUCGGACAUCAGGAGGUUAGUGCAAUGGCAUAAGCCAGCUUGACUGCGAGCGUGACGGCGCGAGCAGGUGCGAAAGCAGGUCAUAGUGAUCCGGUGGUUCUGAAUGGAAGGGCCAUCGCUCAACGGAUAAAAGGUACUCCGGGGAUAACAGGCUGAUACCGCCCAAGAGUUCAUAUCGACGGCGGUGUUUGGCACCUCGAUGUCGGCUCAUCACAUCCUGGGGCUGAAGUAGGUCCCAAGGGUAUGGCUGUUCGCCAUUUAAAGUGGUACGCGAGCUGGGUUUAGAACGUCGUGAGACAGUUCGGUCCCUAUCUGCCGUGGGCGCUGGAGAACUGAGGGGGGCUGCUCCUAGUACGAGAGGACCGGAGUGGACGCAUCACUGGUGUUCGGGUUGUCAUGCCAAUGGCACUGCCCGGUAGCUAAAUGCGGAAGAGAUAAGUGCUGAAAGCAUCUAAGCACGAAACUUGCCCCGAGAUGAGUUCUCCCUGAGACUUAGAGUCUCCUGAAGGAACGUUGAAGACGACGACGUUGAUAGGCCGGGUGUGUAAGCGCAGCGAUGCGUUGAGCUAACCGGUACUAAUGAACCGUGAGGCUUAACCUUACAAC
rnacentral:rRNA from 1 species